rnacentral:rRNA from 1 species
UACGUAGGGGGCUAGCGUUGUCCGGAAUCAUUGGGCGUAAAGAGCGUGUAGGCGGCCCGGUAAGUCCGCUGUGAAAGUCGGGGGCUCAACCCUCGAAUGCCGGUGGAAACUGUCGGGCUCGAGUGCGGAAGAGGCGAGUGGAAUUCCUGGUGUAGCGGUGAAAUGCGCAGAUAUCAGGAGGAACACCGAUUGCGAAGGCAGCUCGCUGGGACGCGACUGAAGCUGAGACGCGAAAGCGUGGGGAGCAAACAGG